CAGUCGCCGCGGGAACACAGAGGGUGCGAGCGUUAAUCGGAUUUACUGGGCGUAAAGCGUGCGUAGGCGGCUAAUUGAGUCGGAUGUGAAAUCCCUGAGCUUAACUUGGGAAUUGCAUUCGAUACUGGUUAGCUAGAGUGUGGGAGAGGAUGGUAGAAUUCCAGGUGUAGCGGUGAAAUGCGUAGAGAUCUGGAGGAAUACCGGUGGCGAAGGCGGCCCCCUGGACAAAGACUGACGCUCAGGUGCGAAAGCGUGGGGAGCAAACAGGAUUAGAUACCCGGGUAGUCCCUGUCUCUUAUAC
rnacentral:rRNA from 1 species